rnacentral:rRNA from 1 species
UACAUGGGGUGCAAACGUUGCUCGGAAUUAUUGGGCGUAAAGCGCGCGUAGGCGGUUACUCAAGUCGGAUGUGAAAGCCCUCGGCUUAACUGAGGAAGUGCACCCGAAACUGAGUAGCUAGAGUACUAAAGAGGGUCGCGGAAUUCCCGGUGUAGAGGUGAAAUUCGUAGAUAUCGGGAAGGAACACCGGUGGCGAAGGCGGUUCUCUGGGCCUUACCUGACGCUGAGGAGCGAAAGCGUGGGGAGCGAACAGG